rnacentral:rRNA from 1 species
CAAUAGCGUAUAUUAAAGUUGUUGCAGUUAGAACGCUCGUAGUCGGAUUUCGGGGCGGGCCGACCGGUCUGCCGAUGGGUACGCACUGGUCGGCGCGUCCUUCCUUCCGGAGACCGUGCCUACUCUUAACUGAGCGGGGGCGGGAGACGGAUCGUUUACUUUGAAAAAAUCAGAGUGUUUCAAGCAGGCAGCUCGCUCUUGCAUGGAUUAGCAUGGGAUAAUGAAAUAGGACUUUGGUGCUAUUUUGUUGGUUUCGAACACCGAAGUAAUGAUUAACAGGGACAGUCAGGGGCACUCGUAUUCCGCCGAGAGAGGUGAAAUUCUCAGACCAGCGGAAGACGAACUACUGCGAAAGCAUUUGCCAGGGAUGUUUUCAUUAA